UGACAUAAGGAGCUAGUUGCCUGU
rnacentral:piRNA from 1 species